CGAAGAGCGGCCCCGCUGCCCUCACCGCCUCCCCCGGCAGCCACCGCCCCGAGUGGCAGCCGCCAUAGCCAAUGGGGAGCGCGGCCGGCGCGCUGUCCGCCAAUGGGAGGCGGAGGCGGGACUACGGGCCGUGGAGGGAAGGGGGGAUGCGGCGGGGAGGAGGGGGCUGGGCGCGAGGGCCUCGGCUGACGGUCGCCUCGCGCCUAACGGCCGCCCCGUGCAAACGGUCGCCUCACGGCUAACGGCCGCCGCGAGGGGGUUGGAGGCGCGGCCGCCUUCUCCAGCGGGGAGCUGCGGGGCUCGCGGCGUGAGGCGGCCCGCUGCCCGACAGCUCGGCGGCUCCUCCUCCUCCUCCUCCGCUCCCGGCCGGCCUCUGUGGGACGGGGAUGGAGGGACGGGCCCCGAAAAGCCUCGGCCACGGGAGGCAGAAUGGCCAGAGUACCCCUGCAGAGGGCAGGGGAGUUUUUGUGCCACGUCCCCCUUCUGUUCGGGGGUUCCCAUUUUAAAGGUUUGGACAAUGCUGAAUUAAAGAAUUCAACCACGUGAUUUGCUGAGAGGGGCCAACCUUCCUUUGAGGUGUUAGCUGAAUCAAGAUUAUCUGGUAGGUCUUAGACAACAUUUGGUUUCGGUGGAAGGACAGACAGGCUUUAAGUCAACAAGACACACUAUGUACAUGUCAGACUCUAAGCUGUUAACCCCAGGCUGUGUUUCAAAGCCCAGCCCCGUCAGUCACUAGGCAUUUGGUCACCGGAGUUUGGCAUUUCACACAACCAUUUAGGCUGUAUCAGCUGCACUUCCAUAAAGCCUGCAGCUCAUUCUCUAUAGCAUGCAGUCUCAUUCCAAUUUGGGUACCAUCAUGCACUGGGUUCAUGACUUGCUGCCCAGCUGCUUUUUAGUGUUCAAGAGCAGGAGAGUAGCUGUGGAACUAGCCACAGCGGGGAUGUGCGUGGGAUGGAAUGAUGGCGUGAAAUGCUUUCUAGAAAGUUUCCUAUAACUGAAAUCCCACAAGGCAACUUCUCCCCUUUGUGUCCCCCUGAACCCUUGCAUACUUCUCAGGAGUUUCCUGCAUUGGCCAUCAGAAAGCCAAAAGAGUUGCAGUCUCAGAUUACAGGAGAAAAAACAACUGCUGUACUUUUUAAGUGUUGAUAUGCGUGGUUUUUCCUGAUGUGAGAUACUAACUUCAUCUGGGAAUUGCUGAGGUCUGUGGAAGGAAAAAGUAACAUAAGAUCCUUUUAUGCUGUAUGAGAGGACAACUGCUGAGACAAUAAUUUUGGGAUAACUACUUGGGAUAAAAAGCCAAGAACUUUUACACUCAGUUCAGUGUGGUUUGUAUUAAUACACAACCACUAUAAAACAAAGCAUUUUAAUAAGUUACAUUUUUUAAUUUUGGACUUUGCUCUUAAAGUUUAUAUUGUUAAUAUAAACCCUAAUAAAAAUGGUGCUUUAUAUGGUAUUGUUGGAUUU
rnacentral:lncRNA from 1 species